rnacentral:rRNA from 1 species
GACGUAGGGCGCGAGCGUUAUCCGGAAUGAUUGGGCGUAAAGCGUCCGCAGGUGGCUGUGUAAGUCUGCUGUCAAAGAGCAAAGCUCAACUUUGUAAAGGCAGUGGAAACUACACGGCUAGAGUGCGUUCGGGGCAGAGGGAAUUCCUGGUGUAGCGGUGAAAUGCGUAGAGAUCAGGAAGAACACCGGUGGCGAAGGCGCUCUGCUAGGCCGCAACUGACACUGAGGGACGAAAGCUAGGGGAGCGAAUGGG